rnacentral:rRNA from 1 species
UACAGAGGGGGCAAGCGUUGUUCGGAAUUACUGGGCGUAAAGGGCGCGUAGGCGGCCCGCUAAGUCGAACGUGAAAUCCCCGAGCUCAACUCGGGAACUGCGUCCGAUACUGGCGGGCUUGAAUCCGGGAGAGGGAUGCGGAAUUCCAGGUGUAGCGGUGAAAUGCGUAGAUAUCUGGAGGAACACCGGUGGCGAAGGCGGCAUCCUGGACCGGCAUUGACGCUGAGGCGCGAAAGCGUGGGGAGCAAACAGG